UUACUCAGGCUUCUCUUCAUUUUUCGCAUAAAUCUUUCGCCUUUUACUAAAGAUUUCCGUGGGGAGGAGCACACAAUGAGUCUUGGUUUUUAAGCCCAGCAUGUACUGGGUU